AGAAUUUGGGAAGAGGUAAGAACAAUUCAUGUGAAUUGUGAAGAGUCCUACAAGAAAGCCAGAUUGUUCCCUGGGGUCUCUUCGGGGGCAGGGAGAGAGAAUGAAAAUACAGAUAAUGAGGAUGACUCUUGGCAGAGACUGUCCACCUACGACUGGCAUUUCUGCAAGAGUCCUGUAACAACAUUUUGAAGAUAAAAUCAUGCCAUGACUCUGAAAUUGGAAGUACAGAACAUGUAAGAAAAUAAAUCAAGAAAUGAGGGGAAUCUCCUGAAAGG
rnacentral:lncRNA from 1 species